GGACCCGCACAAGCGGUGGAACAUGUGGUUUAAUUCGAUGAUACGCGAAGAACCUUACCUGGGUUUGACAUGUUAGUGAAAGUUUUCUGAAAAGAAAUCCCUUUAAAAGCUUGCUUUUAAACACUAUCACAGGUGAUGCAUGGCUGUCGUCAGCUCGUGUCGUGAGAUGUUAGGUUAAGUCCUGCAACGAGCGCAACCCCUAUAUUUAGUUGCCAGCACAUAAUGGUGGGGACUCUAAAUAGACUGCCCGGAAUAACCGGGAGGAAGGUGGGGAUGAUGUCAAGUCAGUAUGUCCCUUAUACCCAGGGCUACACACGUGUUACAAUGGACAGUACAGAAAGUUGCAAUUCCGCGAGGAGGAGCCAAUCUUUAAAACUGUCCCCAGUUCAGAUUGAAGUCUGAAAUUCGACUUCAUGAAGCAGGAAUCGCUAG
rnacentral:rRNA from 1 species